rnacentral:rRNA from 1 species
GGUUAAGCGACUAAGCGUACACGGUGGAUGCCCUGGCAGUCAGAGGCGAUGAAGGGCGUGCUAAUCUGCGAUAAGCGCCGGUAAGGUGAUAUGAACCGUUAUAACCGGCGAUACCCGAAUGGGGAAACCCAGUGUGAUUCGUCACACUAUCAUUAACUGAAUCCAUAGGUUAAUGAGGCGAACCGGGGGAACUGAAACAUCUAAGUACCCCGAGGAAAAGAAAUCAACCGAGAUUCCCCCAGUAGCGGCGAGCGAACGGGGAGGAGCCCAGAGCCUGAAUCAGCAUGUGUGUUAGUGGAAGCGUCUGGAAAGGCGCGCGAUACAGGGUGACAGCCCCGUACACAAAAGCGCAUGUGCUGUGAGCUCGA